GACCCGGCUGGACGGCACGGAGAGCCUCGCGGACGUGCUGCUCGCGGAGCGCACGGAGCGGGCGAGGUUCGGAGUCCUCGGCUGGGCCG
rnacentral:tRNA from 1 species